rnacentral:rRNA from 1 species
GUAUCUGAGUAGCAAAUCACGUGACUCAGGGGUGGAUGAAGAACGCAGCCAGCUGCCAGGCUUAAUUAUAGGAAACAGUAGUUAAUUAUAGGACAUAUAGUUAAUUAUAGGGUGUGUUAAUUAUAGGACACACUGAGCACUAAUUUUUCGAACGCGCAUUGCGGUAUGGCGUGAUCCCGGGACCUCACUUGGCUGAGGGUUG